UACGGAGGAUCCGAGCGUUAUCCGGAUUUAUUGGGUUUAAAGGGUGCGUAGGCGGCCUGUUAAGUCAGUGGUGAAAGACGGUAGCUCAACUAUCGCAGUGCCUUUGAUACUGAUGGGCUUGAAUACACUUGAGGUAGGCGGAAUGUGACAAGUAGCGGUGAAAUGCUUAGAUAUGUCACAGAACACCGAUUGCGAAGGCAGCUUACUAGAUUGGGAUUGACGCUGAGGCACGAAAGCGUGGGGAUCAAACAGG
rnacentral:rRNA from 1 species